UACGAAGGGGGCUAGCGUUGCUCGGAAUCACUGGGCGUAAAGGGUGCGUAGGCGGGUCUUUAAGUCAGGGGUGAAAUCCUGGAGCUCAACUCCAGAACUGCCUUUGAUACUGAGGAUCUUGAGUUCGGGAGAGGUGAGUGGAACUGCGAGUGUAGAGGUGAAAAUUCGUAGAUAUUGGAGGAACACCAGUGGCGAAGGCGGCUCACUGGCCCGAUACUGACGCUGAGGCACGAAAGCGUGGGGAGCAAACAGG
rnacentral:rRNA from 1 species